AAAACGGCCCUUUUCAGGGCUACCAAACUGACUGCAGUGCUGCGUG
rfam:Trichuris suis C395939.1, whole genome shotgun sequence.